CUCCCUGUGGCUCAGUUGGUAGAGCAUGGUGUUUGCAAUGGUGUUUGCAACACCAGAGUUGUGGGUUUGAUUCCCACGGGGGGC
rnacentral:tRNA from 1 species